GAUUUGAAGAGCUUGCUCAGAUAUGACGAUGGACAUUGCAAAGAGUGGCGAACGGGUGAGUAACACGUGGGAAACCUACCUCUUAGCAGGGGAUAACAUUUGGAAACAGAUGCUAAUACCGUAUAACAAUGACAACCGCAUGGUUGUUAUUUAAAAGAUGGUUCUGCUAUCACUAAGAGAUGGUCCCGCGGUGCAUUAGCUAGUUGGUAAGGUAAUGGCUUACCAAGGCGAUGAUGCAUAGCCGAGUUGAGAGACUGAUCGGCCACAAUGGGACUGAGACACGGCCCAUACUCCUACGGGAGGCAGCAGUAGGGAAUCUUCCACAAUGGGCGAAAGCCUGAUGGAGCAACGCCGCGUGUGUGAUGAAGGGUUUCGGCUCGUAAAACACUGUUGUAAGAGAAGAAUGACAUUGAGAGUAACUGUUCAAUGUGUGACGGUAUCUUACCAGAAAGGAACGGCUUAAUACGUGCCAGCAGCCCGCGNUUUUACA
rnacentral:rRNA from 1 species